GUGUCCAACCUCCGUUGGUUCGUUGAGAAACCCUAAGCGCUGUUACCUGAAGAGGCUAAAUUCUGAAAAACAAAAACCCUAAGCCCCGUAAACUGGAAUGGUUGAGAAGCCCUAAACAACGUAACCCUUCCCCUGUCUCCAUUUCCAUUAUCUGUCUACAUCUUUCUGGCGAGCCAGGAUGUCUUCUCUCUCUCGUCAUCUCUACCGCAGCUUCUGCACUGCAACCCCUGCAACCCCUGAAACCAGCGUGGCCUGGCCACCUCUUAACACCAUUAUUAGUGACCUUUUCAACGAACGCAACUUCGAAACCCUCGUCAACAAAUUCAAGAAGUCCUCCGAGUACCACCGGUUCCGUUGCAGGCACCGUAUAUACGAGGUUACAGUUCGUCGCCUCGCCUUAGCUAAACGAUUCUCUUGCAUUGAAGAAAUCCUAGAGGACCAGAAGAAGUAUAAUGAUAUCUGCAGUGAAGGCUUCGCGAUCCGUCUCAUCAGUCUUUAUGGCAAGUCGGGUAUGUUCAAUCAAGCCUCACAAACUUUCAACCAAUUGCCUGAACUAAAGUGCCCGCGCACUGUGAAGUCCUUUAAUGCUCUCCUCUCCGCUUGCGUCGAUACCAAGAAUUAUGAGAAGGCCGAACCCCUUUUUCGCGAGCUUCCUUCUAGCUUGUCAAUCGAACCGAAUCUUUACUCGUACAAUAUCAUGAUUCGGGUUUACUGUGAGAUGGGUUCACUCGAUUCUGCCAUUUCAGUUCUAGAUGAGAUGGAGAAGAGUGGGGUCAGCCCGAGCUUGAUUACUUUUAAUUUUCUUCUGAAUGGGUUUUAUGAGAAAAAUCGAUUUUCCGAUGGUGAGGCGAUUUGGGCUAGAAUGGAGAACAACAAUUUAGUUCCUGACAUUAGAAGCUUUAAUGCCAAGCUGCGAGGCCUAGUUCUUGGGGGCAAAACAUUGGAGGUGGUUGAAUUAGUUAAAGAACUAGAGACAAAGGGACCGAAACCUGAUAUUCAUAGUUUCAAUGCUCUGAUUAAAGGACUUUGCAAUGAUGGAGAUUUAGAGGUAGCCAUGAGGAUUCACAAGGAACUAAACAAAAAGGGUCUCAUUCCAAAUCGAUCAACCUUUCAGACACUUAUCCCUUGCCUUUGUGAGAAGGGGAAUUUCGAUCUGGCUCUUAAGCUCUGCAAGGAGAGUUUGAAUCGUCGACACUUUCUGCAUGCGGAGUUGUUGCAAACUGUGGUUGAUGGGUUUGUCAAGAAGUCAAAGGUUGAUGGAGCGAAGAAGCUUAUGGAGCUUGCGAGAGCAAAAGGUUACAGUGAAUCUAGCUUGAAAAUGCCUUCUGAUGCGGAGUGAUUUCACAAUUUGCUUCAUGUUGAAUGUCUCCUUCAAACUGUCAAUCCAUUCAGAUGAGCUUAUCAGUGAGGGUGAAAAUGAUAGAAUGGAAAAGAAAAAGAAAGAUGAUGAUUGUGAGUAUUGGGCUGAACCUGGAUGGCCGAAGAAGCUGUUCCAAAGACAAAUCCUGGUGGAAAGUCGGCUCUGCUGAUUCCUUCUGAAUAUGAUAGAAGGCAAGAAACUGAGAGCAACAAAAGAGUGAUGAUGGUCAUUGUUGAAAUCAUCUCCAGGGUUUGCUCAAAGCAGUUUAAUUAGUCUUUCCUUCCUUACUUUGUGGACACGCUACAAAGAUCCUUGAACAGUUUAAAAGGAGCUGAAGGAGAGAGCUUAUUCAGGGGAGAAGCGUAUCGUAGCGUUGGAUAUUCAGAAAAUGGAAAUCAGAAUAUUAUGGCCGUGGGGUUGUAUGGGUCUGGGGUUCUUUCCCUCUUGUUUCUAUCAGUAGAAGCCGUCGCUGUUCUUCAAGUCAAGAAAACACUUCUGCAGGCCGUCUUAUGUGAUAGUGCCGAAAAACAAAUCCUAUCUUGUAUUGAUAUUAAGCUGGCAUUAGGGAUUUGUCUUCGGACCAAGCUAUGGAGGUUAUUCUUCCCACGUCAGCAACAGUCACUUGUAAGUUACACACGUCAGCAUUAGUUUUCCGUUUUGUAGGAAUCGUUAUCUACACUUUUCUAGAAAAAGAUAGAAGUGAGUUGUCACGUUGUUAUGAUAAGACUUUGAGUUACAGUUAAGCUUCGUUUGUAUGAGAAUUAGAGAUGUAAACUAAUCAAAUACGAAUUGAAUAUGAAUCAGAUGUGAUUUGAUUCAGAUACCUUUAAAAUGAAUCAAAUUCGCAUCCUCGACUUAUGUAA